UUCUAGCCCUGAUGGGAAGCGGCAUCCUUUUGUGUAGCGCAGCGGAACAAAAGAUAUAGCGGACAGCAGGAAACAGC
rnacentral:sRNA from 1 species